GACGAACGCUGGCGGCGUGCCUAAUACAUGCAAGUCGAGCGAAGUUUUUCUGGUGCUUGCACUAGAAAAACUUAGCGGCGAACGGGUGAGUACACAAAGAACCUGCCUCACGGACAACUAUUGGAAACGAUAGCUAAUACCGGAUAACAGUAUUUCUCGCAUGGGAGAUAUUUAAAAGUUGGUUAUGCUAACACUAUGAGAUGGCUUUGCGGUGCAUUAGCUAGUUGGUGGGGUAAAGGCCUACCAAGGCGACGAUGCAUAGCCGACCUGAGAGGGUGAUCGGCCACACUGGGACUGAGACACGGCCCAGACUCCUACGGGAGGCAGCAGUAGGGAAUCUUCCGCAAUGGGCGAAAGCCUGACGGAGCAACGCCGCGUGAGUGAAGAAGGAUUUCGGUUCGUAAAGCUCUGUUGUUAGGGAAGAAUGGAUAUGUAGUAA
rnacentral:rRNA from 1 species